UGGAGUUUAGGUUAAAAAAACCCUUGCCUUCAAAGCAAUUAAUAAGUAAUAUAAGUGCUUAACUCUAA
rnacentral:tRNA from 1 species